rnacentral:siRNA from 1 species
UUGUUAGGUCUCGACUUCUUC